GGUGGAGCUCAGUUGGUAGAGUGUUUGCCUAGCAGGCAUGAAGUCCUGGGUUCCACCCCCAGCACC
rnacentral:tRNA from 1 species